rnacentral:rRNA from 1 species
GAUGAACGCUGGCGGCGUGCCUAAUACAUGCAAGUAGAACGCUGAAGGAAGGAGCUUGCUCUUUCCGGAUGAGUUGCGAACGGGUGAGUAACGCGUAGGUAACCUGCCUGGUAGCGGGGGAUAACUAUUGGAAACGAUAGCUAAUACCGCAUAACAGUAGAUGUUGCAUGAUAUCUACUUAAAAGGUGCAAUUGCACCACUACCAGAUGGACCUGCGUUGUAUUAGCUAGUUGGUGAGGUAACGGCUCACCAAGGCGACGAUACAUAGCCGACCUGAGAGGGUGAUCGGCCACACUGGGACUGAGACACGGCCCAGACUCCUACGGGAGGCAGCAGUAGGGAAUCUUCGGCAAUGGACGGAAGUCUGACCGAGCAACGCCGCGUGAGUGAAGAAGGGUGUCGGAUCGUAAAGCUCUGUUGUAAGAGAAGAACGAGUGUGAGAGUGGAAAGUUCACACUGUGACGGUAGCUUACCAGAAAGGGACGGCUAACUACGUG